UACGUAGGGUGCGAGCGUUAAUCGGAAUUACUGGGCGUAAAGCGUGCGCAGGCGGUUAUUUAAGUCAGGUGUGAAAGCCCUGGGCUUAACCUAGGAAUUGCGCUUGAGACUGGAUAGCUUGGAGUGCGGCAGAGGGAGGUGGAAUUCCACGUGUAGCAGUGAAAUGCGUAGAGAUGUGGAGGAACACCGAUGGCGAAGGCAGCCUCCUGGGCCAGCACUGACGCUCAUGCACGAAAGCGUGGAGAGCAAACAGG
rnacentral:rRNA from 1 species